rnacentral:tRNA from 1 species
GCAGGUGUAGUCUAGUCUGGUUAGGACUUUGGCCUUCCAAGCCAACAACUCGGGUUCGAAUCCCGGCACCUGCA